UCGCAUCUUUAACAAGCUCCCAGGUGAUGCUGCUGUGGAUCCUGUGAUCCUGCUUUGAGAGCCACUGCCCUAGCAGGAUCACAUAUUUUGCUCAAAAUCUGCUUCCAGGUGCUGAGUGGAAGGGGAAACUUCUGCACAUGAGCAGCUCUGAUGCACUGGUGUGGUUUGCACUGCCCAGCUCUUAGCAACCUUAUGUUCAAGGUGACAGUGAAAGGCACCUCAUCUCCCUCCUGUCAUCACAGGUAUGCCUGCAUUGUGGGAGAAGACUACACAAAGAUGUGAAUAUCAGAAGGUAACUGUCUGCAAGGACCUUCUCAUAAAUUUCGCUCAGAGAGGAGGCCUUCUGUGAAGUUGCCAUUAGACAUUGUCAUUCAUCUGUGGAGACUGAGGGCCAGAUAGUUUCAGCUGUGUCUGGAUUGAAUGGCGCCAGCACUCAUCUUUCCUGACAGUGGCUGAACCAGAGGAGCAUUGACAUUUUUCAUGAUGAUAGCUGGAUAUAAAUACUUGGAUCAUCCUGGAGACUCCACUGUCCAGCCCAGUAUUUCUCUUUAGCCAGUUCCUUCUCCUGCUAUAUUUGGCUGCAGCCCAUUGUGGAAAACUCUGAUGUCGAACUCCUAUGGCUGUAUAAACACCAGAGCUUAGUUCAGGGAGUCCCUCAGAUUGCCAACAAGUAUGAACUGAAUGAUGACACUGUUCAAAAUGCCUUCCUUGCUAUUCUCCUGCAUGACCAAGUAUCCUGGCUUUUUAGAUGCAGCCAUUAAACAUUAAGUUCUGGACGCUGGGAAAUCCAAGAUCAUGACGUUGGCAGGUCUGAUGCCUGGUGAGAGCCCACUUCCUCAUUGACGACUGUCUUCUCACUGUAAUCUCCCAUGGCAGAAGGGGCAAGCCAGCUCUCUGAGGCCUCCUUUAUAAGGGAACCAAUUCCAACUAAUCACCUCUCAAGUGCACAGAUUACUAAGCGCACUUUGGAACCAUGGAGGAAGGUGGCUGAGUGUCUCUGCCACGUGGGAAAGUGAACCACAGGGAUGGCCUUGGGCUGCUGGAACCACUUUGCCCAGACACAGAGGGCUGGAGGUGCCUGGGUGGUUAGCAUUGCUGUUCCUACCCCUAACUCCAGCCAGCGGCGUCACGGAACCAGGACCAGUGACUGACAGAAUAAGGUUAUGGAUUCUUGGGAUGAAGACCACAGAAGGAAAGUGCCAUUGUUCGUUUCUUCACUGUAAAGUUGCUUUUUCUACUCUUUUCCAUACUGUGUCCUUUGGAAGGAAGUCACUGUGUACAGUCCAUACUUACGGAGUGGGGAGGCUUUUCUGGGAAUCUGAUUUCAUGGAGCCUGCUAUUUGACACCACUUCCUCGAUGUUAAGCCCGAUUUGGAUUCCUCCACCUUGAAGACUCUCUUCACUAAGAAACUGAUGUAGGAACUGUUCUUGGAGAAAGAGGCUGGUAUGAUGAGAGAAUCAAGAGUCAGAUGAAUCCUCUUCCUAAAGGUCCUCCAACUAUGAAGUAGUGAACUGGGGGCUGAAACCCCCCUCUCUCACUCUCAGUUGGUGCUCUUCGGUUGUGAACUUAAGAGGCUGCUAUGGUUUAGAAGAAAGAACUCAGGUGGCCAUUUGUUGAUUUUAUCACUGAAAUAUGGAACUUCUUCCAGACUUACCUUCCUCAUUCCUACAAUAUUGGAUAAUAAUAUUCUCCUCACACAGCUGUCUCAAGUAUUGAAGAAGAUUGUGGAUAUAAAGUACUUUUAGAACGCCAUGUUCGUGGGAGUUGUCAAACAUAAGCGAAUUAUACCAAGACAGUGGAAGGAGAACUGAGAGAAACGAUAACUGACAAGGUAAGCUGAUUUAAAUAUUUAUUGAUUUCAUUUCAACAAAUAAUGAUUAUUGUGAUAUUACCUGCAGUCAUUUGGUGCAUGUGUAAGAGGAGGAGGCGGGGCAGUUUUGCUUAACAGUCUGUUUUGCCCCUUUAUCUUUUAUCAGGCAAGUUCUGUCUUCCAUCAACUCCUUGUAACUCGGUUUAAGUCUCUUUCUUCUAAGAACAGAGGGAUCCCCUAGGAAGUAGACAUAUAAAUGAGAAUUGAUUUUAAGUUUCAGAUGUUUACCUUGUUUCUGAGUAAGGGAGUGCUUGCCCUUCAACUUUCAGUCUAUUCAAAAUCCCUAUAUGCAGCCAAUAUUAAGUGUUUCCUGUAUACCACUUGAUGAGCACUGGGAAUAGAGGGGUGAAUAUUAUGGAGACGUUCCUUGUGCCUGUAUAGCAUGCAUUCGAAUGUCAGAAACUAGGUAAUACAUGCAUAGAGAUGUUGCAUCGUAAUGAAAGAAAAUGUGUACUGAUAUUUAAUAGUGGUUAAGGGCUUGGUGUUGUCACUGUUGGGCAACUGUUGUCACUGUUGGGGCUUGGGUUUGAUCCUUGGCCUUGGAACAUCACAUGAUGUGGGCAUGGCCAAAAAAUAAAAAUAAAGAAAGAGAGAAAGAAAGAAAAAAAGAGGUCUUGGAGGCUCUUUCUGAAGGAGAAUAUUGAUGUUGAGACACAAAUGACAAGUAAGAGGCAGUAUGAAUGGUUGAGAGGACAGAAUGUUCUAGUUGAACUGAGAAGCAAGUGCAAAAGCCCUGAGGUGGGAGCAUACCUUAUGAUCAAGGUAAGCAAGGAAUGGUUGAGUAACUUUAGAGAAAAGCCUAAAUGCUAUUUCAUUUGACAUUUAAAAAAUUAUAUUGGGUCUAAAUUUAUGCUCUUAAAUGGUUCCAGAGUGCUUGGAAAUUGAAAGUUCAUUAAUGAAAAUUCUCAUUGGAUUAGGACUUUGGAAAUGGGUUAUUGCUUAAACAUAUUUCAAAUGAUUAUGGUGAAAAAUUACAUUUCACAAAUUGGUUAAGAAUUUUAGUAACAAUCAAGCCACUUCUGUUGAGUGAAAACCUACUAGGUGCUGUGUGUACUGUGAACAGGCUCUAUGAGAAAAUAUGAGUUAACAUAAGAUAGAACUUUUAACCUGAAGAUGAGCAGAGUUGAGAUGCUGGGAAGAUGUGUAAGCCCACAAAAAGAUGACUAACGACACAAAUUCAUAACAAGUUCAAAUAAAUCAUGACAUACUAACAAGGAAAGCAAGGGUGCUUACACCUCACAGUGCACAGGGUGGCUUCUUGAAGGAAAUGAAAUUGGAACUGGGAGGAAGAAUUAAGUGGCCAGAGCCUGGCAGAGUUUGUGGUAAUGAGCAGAAGUGAUGGGAAGCAGUGACAUAUCAAAGACUUAUGUCUUUCUUCCUUUUCUUCAUACCAUGAAGCUGAAUAAAAGUUUCACAAUUUGAUUUUUGCUUUUGGCACGAUUGAAAUACAUACCUAAAUCAUUAAGAAACUGUGUGAUCUCUUUCUAUGUUAUUUUACAACAAGGCUUCCUGUCCUACUAGACAGCAGCUCUAUGAAGAAAACUCUAGUCCCCCCGGUGUUAGUUUUUUAUUUUGAUGAAAUACAGAAUUUUAUUUUGAUGGUGCUUCACUAUUACAAAGAGAUGAAACAAAUAGAACUUCAUUCCAUAUUGACAAAUAAGAGGAAUAUUAUAGAAUGAUUCCCAUUGCUGCUAUCUACCCCAUUUUUUCUAUGAUGAAGUAGAUGACUUGGGGUUGCUGGGCCCCAAGUAUCCCAGCUCCCUUUACAGCAUCUUAAAUAGUGCUCCUUGAAUGUCAAUCAAAGGUAUAUCCAAAGUUACUGGACAUGUCUCUGUGGGACCUUCCUGAUCCUGAAAAAGGCCUCAAAGCAAAGAAAUACAGCUAAGUGAGCUGUUCAUGCAGUGGUAUAAAUGGAUUCUUGGCAAUUCAUUGGCUUUCUCUGGUCAUUGAGUCAGAGCCACACUGUUUGUUGAGGGUCGGUUUAGUAACUUCUACCUUUCAUCAUCUCCUUGGUAUUUCUCUGUAUUGGGGGCAAGCUGCUACAGACUGUCUGAGAUGUUACUUUGUGUGUGUGUGUGCAUGUGCACACGUACACAUGUCUAUUUUCUCGAGGUCUUAUUUUUUAAAACUAGCUAAUCAUUAUAACUACUUGGUUUUUUGUUUUUUGUUUUUUGUUUUUGUUUUAACAAAAUACAGAUGAUUGGGAUUCAACCCAAAUCAGUUAGAUAAAAAAUCUAUGCUGGAGCCCAGAUUCUAGUAAGUUCCCUCAGGGCUGCUAAAGUUCAGUGAGUCUUGAGCUCCUUUGACCUCUCCUGAAAGGAUGAAUGCCUUGAUUUGUAUGCAUGUAUUUCUGUCAGAUGCUUUAAAUGAAGUCAUUAACCAAAAUGCAUUUCCAGAGUUCGGGUCAUUGAGUUGAGAAUCAAAUGAAAUACAUUUCUGGGUGAUGGAACAGUAAGGAUGAGAAGAGAACUAGAGCAGUGUGGUGUGCACAUAUGUAGCUACUGUCUUUGAUGCAGCACACAUAACUGACCCAAGAAAGCUAGUGCCCAGGUCACAGCUGCAGAGACACUCUUAAGAACCAUCAGUGACUUCACAAUGCCAUUACACCGGGUGUGAGGUGGUUCCUGGCAUUCAGCUUCCUGUUCUUCCAUCAAAAGGAAGACCUUUUCUGGCCAACAGGCUAGUCAGACUCCUCUAGCUUGCUAUACCUUGGUGCUAAGAGGUUCUGAUGAGGCAGUAUAGUCCUCACUCCUUUGUGUAAUAAGGUAAGGUUAAGGAAGAAAAAAGAAUUCAUAAGUGAAAAAUCGUUUUGUUUUUGUAAAGGGCCACAUGAAUGGUACAGAUCCAUCUUUCUCCCUGGGGCAGUGGACUCAGAUAACAGAUUUAACUAUAGCUACAUCUCUAUAUCUCCAAGUGACCUUGGACAAGUUCUUUGACUUGUCUAAACCUCUUUUUCUCUGAAAUUCUCUCUCUCUCUUUUUUUUUUUUUUGCUUUUUAGGGCUGCAAUAGCAGCAAAUGGAAGUUCCCAGGCUAGGGGUGAAAUCAGAGCUAUAGCUGCCGGCCUACACCACAGCCACAGCAACGCCAGAUCCGAGCCACAUCUGUUACCUACACAACAGCUCAUGGCAAUACUGGAUCCUUAACCCAUAGAGUGGGGCCAAGGAUUGAACCCAUAUCCUCAAGAACCCUAGUUGGGUUCAUUAUCGCUGAGUCACAAUGGGUACUCCCUCAUUUAAUGAGUAUUGAUUGCAUAACCACUACGAAUCUGAUAUUGUUCUAGGAACUAGGGAUAAAGCAAAAAAUAGUCUCCAGCUUUCAUGGAACUUGCAAGGGUAUAGUAAACAAUAAACAGGCAAAGGCUUAGUAUGCCAGGUGGUUGAUAAAGGCCUUGGAGAAGAAGGAAGCAAGGCAGAUAAGGUAGGAAUUUCGGGGGGAAUGUGGGUUUUAUGGGGAAUGUUGAGAUUUUGUUAUCAGGAGAGCUGCAUUGAUAAUUAAGGGCUUUGAAGGAAUUAGGACCAGGUAGAUAUGUAUUAAAAGUUCAUUACAGGCAAAGAACACAGCAAGUGCAAAGGCGUGGAGGUGGUAUUGUAUGUGGAAUUCUGGAGAAAUAGAAGGAAGCCAGUAGGGCUGGCACAGAGAGAGAGAAAUAGGGAUACUGGUAGGAGAUGAAGUCAGUUAGUCCUGAGGCCAAGUUAGGGAGGUAGCCCUUUGCAUACUUAAACCUGCAUGGGAAUCCCUGGGGGCUGUUGUUGAAAUGUGGAUUCAGAUUCAGUAGGUCUGGAACGAGGCCUGGGCUUCUAGAUUUUGAACCUCUUCCAGGCAGACCACACUCUGAGUGGACUAGGUGUGGGGCUAUGUAAGCUAUUGUAAAUAAAGAUGUUAGCAUUGGCCCUGAGUGAGAUGGGGGGGGGCAUGGGAAUGUUUUGAGUGCCUCUUCAAGGCAUGGUUCUGGCUGUCACGAUAAUGAGGUGUCCAACGCCCUGACUGAUUUUGCACAUUGUCUGGGUUUUAGUCCUAGUGUCACCACUCACUCACUGCCUGUCUUUGGUAAGUUGCUUAAACUUCUUUUUCUCUCAACUUUUUGUUUUGAAAAAUGCUAAACCUAGAGAAAAGGUGAAAGAAAAGUACAAUUAAUGCUUUAUAUCCUUCACCUAGAUUGAUCAACUAUUAAUAUUUUUCUCUAUUUGCUUAUCUCAUACUCUUAAGUACAUAUUAUCUCAUUUAUUAUUAACCAUUUAAGAGUCAGUUUUUGACAUAAUGACCCUUCAACCCUAACUAGUUCAUUAUGUAAGAAAAAUCUCCUAUAUAAAUACAAUGAACAGUCACAUUCAGAACAUUUGAUGUUGAUACAAUCAUCUAAUAUAAAAAUCUCAAUUUAAAUACAACCAAUUUCCUUCCCAAAUAUCCUUUAUAACAAUUUCCUUUUUCUGAUGUUGAAUCCAAUCCAGGAUAUUAUAUUGGAUGUUAUAUUGCUUUAGUUUUCACGUCUCAUUAGUCUUUUAACCUAGAACUGAAUUGCUUUACCUCGGCCUUUUUAAAAAAUGUAAAAAAAAUUUUUUUGAUGUUUUGUGCCAUUGUUAUUUUUGAAAAGUCUGCACCAGAGUUCUCUGGCAGCCUAGCAGUUAAGGAUCCAGCAUUGUUACUUCUGUCACUCAGGUCACUGCUGUGGUGUGAGUUCGAACCUUGGUCCGGGAACUUCCACAUGCCUGGGCAUGCCCCUUCUCCCUCCAAAAAAACCCUGGCUGGGCCAGUUGUUUUAUAGAAUGUCACCCAAUUUAGAUUAAAGGUUUGUAAUGAUUUAAUUCAGGUAUGCAUGAUUAGCAAAAGUACCAUGUAAGUGAUGUGUGCCUUGCUCUGUGCAAGCAUCCAGAGGCAUUUGAUGUCAGUUUGCUUCAUUUUAGUGAUGUUAACUUGGGUCACUUGCAUAAAGUGUUACAGCAGAUUUCUUCACUGUAUAGGUACCCAUUUUCCUUUGUAGUUAACAAGCUACCUGUAGAGAAAUACUACAUAAGUAGCCUUUCCCUCAACAAACUCUCAUCCAGUGGUUUUCCACCCAUGAAUAAUUCUCAUCUGAAAAAAUUAUUGCUUUAGAGGUUGCAAAAUGGUUAUUUUGCUAACUGUCAUUACUUGUUUUAUUAUUUGGCUAUGUAAAAGAGCUUUUUUAUUAUUUUGAUUUGUUCUAUUUGACCUUUUGACUUUAGUUUUAUCAUUCUGCCAUCUAGAAGAGCUUUCUCUUUAGCCUGUGUGUGUGUAUAUGCACGUAUGUAUCCAUCUGUGUAUCCAUGUCUGUAUCUAUCUACCUAUUCCUUGUCUUGAUAUGAACUUAUGGGUUCUUUAUUUAACAAUUCAGUUGUGCUAUAAACCAUUGCUGACAUCAUUAUUUUGAUGCCCAAAUUGUCCUUGUUUUGCCAGGAGGAGCAUCUUCAAUCUGGUUCCCAUGUUCUUUUCAGGUUUGAGUGCUUCCUCAAUUUCUUGCCCCACAAAAUAUUCUAGGUUCACUUUGUACUUGACCUUCCCCAACCCUGGACAGCCAUUUUUUCCCAAAACCCUGGUUCCCUUUGUGCAGACUUGUUUAUAAGUACCAAUUUUUAAAAAAUUAAAAUAGAACUACCAUAGAAAUUAUGAAAUUAGAUGGCAAUAUAACUUGCAGAGUUAUUUUGAGGGUUAAAUGAGAAAAUUUGUGUAAAAGACUUUACAUUAUUUAUUUCAGCCAUUUCCAAGGCAGUAUAAAUCAAUGGAAACAUGGCUGAGAAUGACAGUAGAUGGAUUUAGAAAAUGUAAAUUAUGAUAUCCUCUGGGGGAACACAAAAGGUUAACAGAUUUACAUAACAGGUCCAUAAAUAUCUACUUUGCCUCCCAAUGUAUAGAAGAUAAACAGUUUGCCAUCACACAUGGCAUUUUAGCAUAAAGAGUUACCAAUCUGAUUCUCAAGUCCUUAUGCAAAUAAUACAGAAAAAAAUCAUACUCUCAAACAAAUUCUUAGUUUUGAUGAUGUGGGAAGAGAUUUUACAUAAGACUUUAAAUCCUAAAGCAUUUCAUUUAGAACUGUUUGCAAAAAGUUCUUUAAGGAGGAGGACUUCAUGUGGGGAGAGAUUGGUCCCAUUUAGACCCAGGCAUAGAAUCAAGUGGCAUGAGAACGUAAUACUAGUCUUACUAUGAAGAGGAGUUCUCAUUGCUUCAUCCAUCAUUUUUAAUUUUUCUGACUGUGAACCAUCAUACUUAGAAGGUUGGUCUUCAUAUGUGUUAACAUUUUCUUAGAAAUACUUUUUCUUUAUUAUGCAAUUAAUAGAUGUUCCUUGUAGACACAUUAGAAAA
rnacentral:lncRNA from 1 species